AGAGAAUCCUGAUGCCUCUCAAUAAGCAAAAUGAGAAGUUCUUACAGAUGACUCCAUUUGCUACUGCUUUUAUUUCUCUUCUCUGAGUAUCAGCAGACAUAACCAGGAAGCUAUGCCACUAGAGCAGGUUUCCAAGAUCUGUAAUAUCCACUCACAACAAGAGGGCUAAUUAUGUAGUUAAUGUGUGGAUCAGAAGAAUCAGAAUAUACUGCCUGAAAGAGGCAGAGGGCCCUCACACAGGGAGACACAAGGAGAAAUAGCAAAACUCUAAAAGGACAAAUCUACAUGGACAGAAGAGGCCAAGCUCCAGCUUUUAUACUUGCUUUCUCUAAACUGGCUGGCCUAGAAUCAGUGCUGCUCCAGAAGAUGCAAGAUACAUAUUCUAGAAGAUACAUAAUAGCUAUGUAAUAUAUCAGAAUUAACA